GAUGAACGCUGGCGGCGUGCUUAACACAUGCAAGUCGAACGAGAAGUGAAGACGGAAACCUUCGGGCGGAAGGCUUUAUUUCGAGUGGCGGACGGGUGAGUAACGCGUGGGUAACCUGCCUCAUACAGGGGGAUAACAGUUGGAAACGACUGUUAAUACCGCAUAAGACCACAGCACCGCAUGGUGCGGGGGUAAAAACUCCGGUGGUAUGAGAUGGACCCGCGUUCGAUUAGCCAGUUGGCGGGGUAACGGCCCACCAAAGCCACGAUCGAUAGCCGAUCUGAGAGGAUGACCGGCCACAUUGGGACUGAGACACGGCCCAAACUCCUACGGGAGGCAGCAGUGGGGAAUAUUGCACAAUGGGGGAAACCCUGAUGCAGCGACGCCGCGUGAGUGAAGAAGUAUUUCGGUAUGUAAAGCUCUAUCAGCAGGGAAGAAAAUGACGGUACCUGAGUAAGAAGCCCCGGCUAACUACGUG
rnacentral:rRNA from 1 species